AUGAUACGUAGCCGACCUGAGAGGGUAAUCGGCCACAUUGGGACUGAGACACGGCCCAAACUCCUACGGGAGGCAGCAGUAGGGAAUCUUCCACAAUGGACGAAAGUCUGAUGGAGCAACGCCGCGUGAGUGAUGAAGGGUUUCGGCUCGUAAAACUCUGUUGUUGGAGAAGAACAGGUGUCAGAGUAACUGUUGACAUCUUGACGGUAUCCAACCAGAAAGCCACGGCUAACUACGUGCCAGCAGCCGCGGUAAUACGUAGGUGGCAAGCGUUGUCCGGAUUUAUUGGGCGUAAAGCGAGCGCAGGCGGUUUUUUAGGUCUGAUGUGAAAGCGUUCGGCUUAACCGGAGAAGUGCAUCGGAAACCGGGAGACUUGAGUGCAGAAGAGGACAGUGGAACUCCAUGUGUAGCGGUGAAAUGCGUAGAUAUAUGGAAGAACACCAGUGGCGAAGGCGGCUGUCUGGUCUGUAACUGACGCUGAGGCUCGAAAGCAUGGGUAGCGAACAG
rnacentral:rRNA from 2 species